CCUACGGGUGGCAGCAGUGAGGAAUAUUGGUCAAUGGGCGGAAGCCUGAACCAGCCAAGUAGCGUGCAGGAUGACUGCCCUACGGGUUGUAAACUGCUUUUAUACGGGAAUAACGCGCCUUACGUGUAGGGCUUUGCAUGUACCGUAUGAAUAAGGACCGGCUAAUUCCGUUCCAGCAGCCGCGGUAAUACGGGAGGGCCGGGGGUUAUCCGGAUUUAUUGGGUUUAAAGGGGGCGUAGGCCGCAGAUCAAGCGUGAUGUGAAAUGUCCGGGCUCAACCCCGGCCUUGCAGCGGAAACUGGCGUGCUUGAGUGGGCGGAAAGCAGGCGGAAUGCGUGGUGUAGCGGUGAAAUGCUUAGAUAUGACGAAGAACCCCGAUUGCGAAGGCAGCUUGCUGGAGCGGAACUGACGCUGAUGCUCGAAAGCGCGGGUAUCGAACAGGAUUAGAUACCCUUGUAGUC
rnacentral:rRNA from 1 species